ACAUUUAAGUGUUUUGCAUGUGAAUUUUUGAAAUUUACGGAUUAAAUUUUUAUUUAAAAGUGUAGG
rnacentral:tRNA from 1 species